AAUCGACGCUUCACUCGAUAUCACUUGUUCCGUGUAAAUAGCACACAAUGAGCGGAGUUACUUUUGCUGGUGAUGACAGUGUCAGCUUUGCUGAGAACAAUGACGGUGUCAGCAUUGCUGACAAUAAUAGCGAUGUAAACUUCGCUGACAACAAUGACGGUGUCAGCUUUGCUGAUAACGGCAGCGACAACGGGAGCGAGGUUAACUUUGCUGGCAAUGGCGGGGACAGCACGGGAGUUCAAGUUGCUAACAGUAAUGAGGAAGUCAACGUUGUUGGUAAUGACGGUGGCGGGGGAGUUACAUUUGCCGACAACGAGGACGUCGUGCAGUUUGCUGAUUAAUAUUACUGGGAACAAUGUACUUCAAUAUUAUUCUGUUAUCGGCCCGGAGAUUGAGAAACGAAUUUCUUGAGGGACAUCCAUGUUGAGUGUUUACUUUUUCUGACAGAACUAAUACUUAUAUUGUAUCUGGGUACUUAGCUUUUUCCUCCACUCGAUAACUUCCGCGGGAAAGUCUUCUCUAAUGUAAUAAAUACCUGAUUUUUGCAA